UUUUUUCUUCUUUUCUUCUGCUUCUUUAUUUUUUUCUUUCUUCUAGGUUUCUUUCUUCGAGGAAAAAUGGGAAAGAAAGGAAAAGAAACUCCCAUUCGAAAAGGAGAGAAAAAAGAAG
rnacentral:ribozyme from 13 species